rnacentral:lncRNA from 1 species
GAAAGAUCUCCCAUGCUCAUGGAUUGGCAGGAUUAAUUUAGUAAAAAUGGCCAUUUUACCAAAAGCAAUCUACAGAUUCAAUGCAAUCCCCAUCAAAAUACCAAUCCAAUUCUUCAAAGAGUUAGACAGAACAAUUUGCAAAUUCAUCUGGAAUAACAAAAAACCCAGGAUAGCUAAAGCUAUCCUCAACAAUAAAAGGACUUCAGGGGGAAUCACUAUCCCUGAACUCAAGCAGUAUUCCAGAGCAAUAGUGAUAAAAACUGCAUGGUAUUGAUACAGAGACAGACAGAUAGACCAAUGGAAUAGAAUUGAAGACCCAGAAAUG